rnacentral:rRNA from 1 species
GAACGAACGCUGGCGGCGGGCCUAAUACAUGCAAGUCGAACGAGAAAGCACCUUCGGGUGUGAGUAGAGUGGCGCACGGGUGAGGAACGCGUAGGUGACCUACCUCUUGGCGGGGAAUAACUAAGAGAAAUUUUAGCUAAUACCGCGUAAGUAAUUAUUUUUGAAGAUUUAAUUAGAAAGAAUGCCUCUGCAUAUGCAUUCACCGAGAGAUGGGCCUGCGUGACAUUAGCUUGAUGGUGGGGUAACGGCCUACCAUGGCGACGAUGUCUAGCUGGUCUGUGAGGAUGAUCAGCCACACUGGAACUGAGACACGGUCCAGACUCCUACGGGAGGCAGCAGUAGGGAAUAUUGCGCAAUGGGGGAAACCCUGACGCAGCCACGCCGCGUGAGUGAGGAAGGCCUUCGGGUUGUAAAGCUCUGUCAGAUGGGAAGAAUGGUUAGUGGUCUAAUAGGCCAUUGAUUUGACGGUACCUUCAAAGGAAGCACCGGCUAACUUCGUGCCAGCAGCCGCGGUAAUACGAAGGGUGCAAGCGUUGUUCGGAUUUAUUGGGCGUAAAGCGCGCGUAGGCGGAUUUGUAAGUCAGAUGUGAAAUCUCGGGGCUCAACCUCGAAACUGCGUCUGAAACUGCUAAUCUAGAAUCUCGGAGGGGGAAGGGGAAUUUCGCAUGUAGGGGUAAAAUCCGUAGAGAUGCGAAGGAACACCAGAGGCGAAGGCGCCUUCCUGGACGAGUAUUGACGCUGAGGUGCGAAAGCGGGGGGAGCAAACAGGAUUAGAUACCCUGGUAGUCCACGCCGUAAACGAUGAGCACUAGAUAUUGGGCCGUUUAGGUUCAGUGUCAAAGCUAACGCAUUAAGUGCUCCGCCUGGGGAGUACGGUCGCAAGACUAAAACUCAAAGGAUUUGACGGGGGCCCGCACAAGCGGUGGAUUUAUGUGGUUUAUUCGAAGCAACGCCGCAGAACCUUACCCGGGCUUGAAGUCCUGAGAAUCCUCCC